GAGACAGCAGUAGCCACGGGAAUACAGAGGGUGCGAGCGUUAAUCGGAUUUACUGGGCGUAAAGCGUGCGUAGGCGGCUUUUUAAGUCGGAUGUGAAAUCCCUGAGCUUAACUUAGGAAUUGCAUUCGAUACUGGGAAGCUAGAGUAUGGGAGAGGAUGGUAGAAUUCCAGGUGUAGCGGUGAAAUGCGUAGAGAUCUGGAGGAAUACCGAUGGCGAAGGCAGCCAUCUGGCCUAAUACUGACGCUGAGGUACGAAAGCAUGGGGAGCAAACAGGAUUAGAUACCCGGGUAGUCCCUGUCUCUUAUAC
rnacentral:rRNA from 1 species